rnacentral:rRNA from 1 species
AGGAACCCUCCCACCCUUGUGUAUUAUUACUUUGUUGCUUUGGCGAGCUGCCUUCGGGCCUUGUAUGCUCGCCAGAGAAUACCAAAACUCUUUUUAUUAAUGUCGUCUGAGUACUAUAUAAUAGUUAAAACUUUCAACAACGGAUCUCUUGGUUCUGGCAUCGAUGAAGAACGCAGCGAAAUGCGAUAAGUAAUGUGAAUUGCAGAAUUCAGUGAAUCAUCGAAUCUUUGAACGCACAUUGCGCCCCUUGGUAUUCCGGGGGGCAUGCCUGUUCGAGCGUCAUUUCAACCCUCAAGCUUAGCUUGGUAUUGAGUCUAUGUCAGUAAUGGCAGGCUCUAAAAUCAGUGGCGGCGCCGCUGGGUCCUGAACGUAGUAAUAUCUCUCGUUACAGGUUCUCGGUGUGCUUCUGCCAAAACCCAAAUUUUUCUAUGGUUGACCUCGGAUCAGGUAGGGAUACCCGCUGAACUUAAGCAUAUCAAAGCCCGGAGAAA